GAGGAUGUGACUCAGUGGUAGACUGCUUGCCUAGUAUGCGUGAGGGCCUGGGUUUGAUCCCCAGAUCCACA
rnacentral:tRNA from 1 species